rnacentral:lncRNA from 1 species
CAUGGCAUUUGAACGUACAGUAAUUGCUGUUGAUUGUCCUUACAAGCCCUGUGAAAUAGGCUUUGCAGCUGGUAUUAUCUAUCUUGUACAGAUGAACGAACGAUUGCUUAGAGAUAGAAAACACUUCACCUGAGGUCACCAGGCUAAGUAAAUGGAUGAAGACUCUGGAGCUUAAAGAAAUAAUUUACAAUUCCAGUUAUAUAUUGCUGUGUAACAAACCACCCUGAACUUAGUGUAAAAAAGAACAAUUAGUUUGCUCAAAAAUGUACCAUUUGGGCAGUGUUUGGUAGGGACAGCCCACAUAUGCUCCAAGCAGUGUCAACUAGGAUGGAUGACUCAAAGAUCGGGGGAACGUGAUGGCUGGAAGCUAGAAUCAUCUGAAUGCUCACACACUCACAUGCCCGAUGGCUGAUACUGGCAUGUGAUCCUCAAGUGGGGCUCUUGGAUCAAAUGACUAUAUGCAACUUCUCAAUGGGUUGCUUGGUUUUCUCAGAUCAUGGCAGCUGGAUACCAAGAGUGAGCAUUCGAAGAGACAAGAACUUUACCUUCAACAUCUGGCCCAAAUUUAUUUUGUACUGGAGAGGAAUACUACCUUCUGCAUGCCUAGAAGCAUGCCUCUUACCAGCAGACAUCUUCCAAGGGAAAUGAUGUGGAGCAAAGGAAUGAGCACACAAACACUCAUGUCUUAAGUCUAAAACAAAAACCCAAAAGUGUUUGCUUUGUAUCGCAUAUUAUUUUUUUAUUUUGUAUUUUCCAUUCUCUUUUCAUUUCACCAUGGAUGUUUUCUACAAGCCUAUACUUAUACUUACUAAUGCUUUCUUCCGUUAAUCUUCCAUUAAAAUCCAUACUGAACUCUUAAUUUUAAAAAUAAUUAAAAUUAUUGUUUAAACAUUUCUAUUUUUAAGAUUUUUAUAUUGUUUCUUUAGAAAAUAAAUUCUAGUUCUCUGGUAAAAUUCUUUAUCCUGUCAAAUAUUUUCUUGAACAUAUUAAGGUUUUUUCAAAGUCUGUGCUUGUUCACUCCAAAAAAAUAGUGUGCCUACAUGUCUGUUUCUUAUAUAUGUAUAUAAAAAUUACCACAAAAAAAGGAAUCUAAUUUAUAGUGACAAUAGAUCAGUGGUUGACUGUGGCUGUGAGCAGGGGAAGGAAUUAACAAUAAAGAGGCAUAGGUAAAUAUUUUGGGGAGAAGAAAAUUUUCUGUACUUUGAUAGUGGUAGUAGUUACAUAAUGUCAAGUUUUUCUUUUGGUCUCAUACUGUUACAUACUCUUUAGUUAUUCAUCUAAUGUUAGAUAUUUUGUAUGAAAUAAAACUAAGCUACUCCUUCAUACAUUACAAAAUAUUGAAAGCUUAACAUGUGCCAGUCCUUUUACUGGGGAUCUAGCACUAAAACAGGACAGACACAGCUUCCAUACUGACAGAGCUUCCAGUUCCUUGGUGGACCUUUCUAAUUCCUGAAGUUCUUUGGGCUUUCAAAGUUGUUCACACUCUUUUAUUUACCCAGAAUGCCAUGGUCCCUGUGUUUGUAUGCUCAAAUCAUAUACAUAUUUUUAAAUGUUACAAUUUUUAAAUACAAUUUUAAAUGUUACAGCCUCAAUAAAUCUGUCUAUAUUAAAAGUAAUCUUAUGUUAGUCUGAGCUUUCAUGUUAAAUGAUCUGUUCCUCUAAUGGUAUUUAUAUAAUCUGCCUGCCUGGUAAUAUUAAUGAAGUAUCCCAUAUAACCAGAUUUCAAACUCUUUAAGUACAAGGACCUUGUCUUACUAACUCUUGUAUGUACUAUGGUAUGUAAAAAAGUGCCUGAUCGUAGUAAACAUAUGUAUUAAGUGAAUAUUUGACUGUGUCAUUAUAAUGUUUAUAAAAUUAUAGUCCAUGUUUUAAUAUUUUCUACCUAAUAAUUCACCACUCUACUUACUCCUAAUUAUUGAGCUCGAAUCACUUAUAACCCUACCAUAACUAAUUCUAGCUUGCAGCUUCCAUGAUAC